UUCAUCACUUGUGUGAACUUUACUUUCAGAAUCAAAAGGGAGGCGCGUUCUCAGUUUCAAUUCACCCUUCACCAUGAGAGCCAAGUGGAAGAAGAAGCGUAUGAGGCGGUUGAAGAGGAAGCGCCGAAAGAUGAGGCAGAGAUCCAAGUAGAGUUUGUUUUCAGCUACCAAAUCUCCAUCUCCGCAUCAGAGUCUUUUUGUAGGCUUUUUUUUCCUUCUUUUUUCGUUUUUCUAAUUGAUGUUAUUUUCUCAUUCGUGAAUUCUGAUCUGUAACAGUGGUUUUUAUUUUUUACUGUUUCGACACUGCUGCUGAAUCAAACUAUUUAAUCGGAUGAGAUUUUUUUCGUAUGAAAUCAUUUUUCCCAA